AUGAAUCCACCUAACAAAAAGUUUGCUGUUAUAAAAAAAUCUCAUUCAAGGUCAUUAAAGGUUUCUGAGACGGCAAGAGUUGAUAGUGAAACCAUUUUUUUGCUCGAGUGCUUUGAAAUUUUCCUUAAUAGUGUGAGGUUGAUGUGGAUGGAAUAAUGAGUUUUAUAGAGACUUUCUUGAUGUAAAACUAUACAUUUUUUUUUGUUUAAUGUGGUAUUUCCAUUUUUAUAUAUUUUACUACCAUUUUAAGAUAGAAGUACAUUUAAAGAUAGAUGCUUAAAUCUUAAUGUACUUUUUCCAUUUUUUUUAAUGUUUAUUUCCAUUUCUUAUAUUUUUAUUUACGUAAUAUCUAUAUUUUAUAUUUUUAAAUAGAUAUUUAAAUAUUAAUGUACUUUUUCCAUUUUUUAAAUUGUGUAUUUACUUAUAUUAUAUAUUUUAUAUUUUAAGAUAGAUGUUUAAUGCUUGAUUAACUUUUUCCAUUUUUUAAAAAUUGUGUAUUUACUUAUUAUUACAUAUAUAAUUCAUAUAUUAUAUAUUUACAUUAUUUAAUUAUUAUUUAUUUUCAUGUAUAUGUAUUUCCAUUUCUUGUACUUUUAAUUUACUUAAUAUCUCUAUUUUACAUUUUAAGAUAGAUGUUUAAAUCUUAAUGUAUGUUUUCCAUUUUUUUAAAUUGUAUAUUUCCAUUUGUUUUACUUUCUAUUUAC
rnacentral:lncRNA from 1 species